GGGUCUAGUUUAAGCAUUAUACCGUGAAACUGCGAAUGGCUCAUUAAAUCAGUUAUCGUUUAUUUGAUAAUACCUUACUACUUGGAUAACCGUGGUAAUUCUAGAGCUAAUACAUGCUGAAAAUCCCGACUUCGGAAGGGAUGUGUUUAUUAGAUAAAAAACCAAUGCCCUUCGGGGCUUUUUGGUGAUUCAUGAUAACUUUACGGAUCGCAUAGCCUUGCGCUGGCGACGGUUCAUUCAAAUUUCUGCCCUAUCAACUUUCGAUGGUAAGGUAUUGGCUUACCAUGGUUUCAACGGGUAACGGGGAAUUAGGGUUCGAUUCCGGAGAGGGAGCCUGAGAAACGGCUACCACAUCCAAGGAAGGCAGCAGGCGCGCAAAUUACCCAAUCCCGACACGGGGAGGUAGUGACAAUAAAUACUGAUACAGGGCUCUUUUGGGUCUUGUAAUUGGAAUGAGUACAAUUUAAACCUCUUAACGAGGAACAAUUGGAGGGCAAGUCUGGUGCCAGCAGCCGCGGUAAUUCCAGCUCCAAUAGCGUAUAUUAAAGUUGUUGCAGUUAAAAAGCUCGUAGUUGAAACUUGGGCCUGGCUGGCGGGUCCGCCUCACCGCGUGCACUCGUCCGGCCGGGCCUUCCUUCUGAAGAACCUCAUGCCCUUCACUGGGCGUGCUGGGGAAUCAGGACUUUUACUUUGAAAAAAUUAGAGUGUUCAAAGCAGGCCUUUGCUCGAAUACGUUAGCAUGGAAUAAUAAAAUAGGGCGUGCGUUUCUAUUUUGUUGGUUUCUAGAGACGCCGCAAUGAUUAACAGGAACAGUCGGGGGCAUCAGUAUUCAGUUGUCAGAGGUGAAAUUCUUGGAUUUACUGAAGACUAACUACUGCGAAAGCAUUUGCCAAGGAUGUUUUCAUUAAUCAGUGAACGAAAGUUAGGGGAUCGAAGACGAUCAGAUACCGUCGUAGUCUUAACCGUAAACUAUGCCGACUAGGGAUCGGGCGAUGUUCUUUUUCUGACUCGCUCGGCACCUUACGAGAAAUCAAAGUUUUUGGGUCUGGGGGAUAG
rnacentral:rRNA from 1 species